GACGAACGCUGGCGGCGUGCUUAACACAUGCAAGUCGAACGGAAAGGCCCUGCUUUUGUGGGGUGCUCGAGUGGCGAACGGGUGAGUAACACGUGAGUAACCUGCCCUUGACUUUGGGAUAACUUCAGGAAACUGGGGCUAAUACCGGAUAGGAGCUCCUGCUGCAUGGUGGGGGUUGGAAAGUUUCGGCGGUUGGGGAUGGACUCGCGGCUUAUCAGCUUGUUGGUGGGGUAAUGGCUUACCAAGGCUUUGACGGGUAGCCGGCCUGAGAGGGUGACCGGCCACAAUGGGACUGAGAUACGGCCCAGACUCCUACGGGAGGCAGCAGGGGGGAAUAUUGCACAAUGGGCGGAAGCCUGAUGCAGCAACGCCGCGUGCGGGAUGACGGCCUUCGGGUUGUAAACCGCUUUCGCCUGUGACGAAGCGUGAGUGACGGUAAUGGGUAAAGAAGCACCGGCUAACUACGUG
rnacentral:rRNA from 1 species